GCUCAGGAGUUCUGAGAGCUCUCUGGAAGUCCUGCAGAAUCAUGGACACAAAAUUUGGGGACUCAUCUGGGAUUCCCAAGAGGAUCUCUGGAAUCUGCAGUCUUGGGAGUCUAAAACUGGGGUCAAGAAGACGUCCCUGACCCCAGGUCCUGGGUGGAUGCAGUUCCCGCCCAUCAGUUAGAAUUGCUUGAAGAGACCUCGGCACAAUCUGCUUCAGUAUCCACCUCUCUUCCACUUUCUGAGGUGAGAGUCUGUGAGUCCUAGUGUUUGGAUUUACUCGUGUUUCCAGUCAUGAAGUGGCUAUAUCGUGUGUGUGGUUUUUGUCAGUGGUGAUUCUGUUAGUGCUUAGUCUUGUGUUGUUCUGGAUGGUGACAGACACAACACUCACUCAGAUGUUAACUCUCACUCUCUUCCCUCCCACCCCAUUAACAUUGUUUUAGCUCACUUAAAGGAAGUGAAAAUCAGAGCUCACAAUCUCUCAAUGGACGUGAGAAAGAAGGAAAUGCACAAAUUUUGCAGAUUGGAGUGAUCUACUUUCAGAGUGGGAUGGCCAGCGGAGGAAACUUUCCAACUCCUCACGGUGAUAGAGGUAGAAGACAAAGAAUUUUAGAAAGCACAGGGGCAUCCAGAACAAGUUCUCUCUCUACAUUGUAGUCUGGAAAGAUUUGGAUGCCAACCUAUCACCUUGGGUGAAAUCAUGUUUACUACCUCUUACCAACGCUACUUAGCCUCCAGGAACCAUGCCCACAUCGAUGACAGAAGAACAAAAGUGGGAAGUCUCCAAGUCUUCUAAACCCCUCUAUCCUAUUUUACAGGACAGUACACCAGAAGAAGUAAUUUUCCCACUGCCUUACACUCAGGCACCAACUCUGACAGAGGCAGCAGCCCCUGCCUUGGUUGAGACCUCCCCUCCCACUGUGUCUCUGCCUAGUGGUCCUCCACAGGUGUACUUAAUCCCAGUGUUUCCACCUCUGCCCCUUGCACAGAUGACAAGAGACUGGUGUCAGAGGAUUCCAUGGUAAUAAAGCCACAUCCUCAUAUUUCCUUCAAAUGACACUGAAAAAUUGUCUCAGAUUCUGCUGAAAGCCUAUUCUGUGCCAGAUACUGAUUGCACAUCAGUGAACCAGACCAACACAUUCCAAGUGGCAGUGAAUCAAAGCCCAUCAGAGAAGAUGGGAAAGCACAGAAUCAGAGAAAGCCAGAGAAAGCUAGUAAGUCUUCCUUGAGUUGAGGUGAUCAAAGUAUGACAGAACUAUAUUUUGUUUUAUCACAUACAAAUUUGGAAUUAUUUAUACACCAAGUUAUCAUCCCAUUUCUCAAUAUGUGCUAACAUGGGAGCAAUAAUACAAUUAAAAAAAUAGAUUGUUUUCCUAUUCGUUCAAAAAAAAAAAGAAUUGUCAAAACAGACAAUGUAAAAUUUCUAAUGUUUAACUUGUUUCUUUCAUUGAAAACGCAUUUUAUUUUACACUUUUGAUUUCAUAAAGAUUCCAUAGAUCUUAUCUUGUCUAAUUGUAUGCAUUUAGUUCUGUAGGAGAAUUUUAUUUAGAAAAUGUAGGUAUGGGGCAUAAAGCUAGAUUCCAAUCUGGUCUGUGUCAUGUCCCAUAUAAUGACAUAACACUAUGGUUUUAAAAAC
rnacentral:lncRNA from 1 species